rnacentral:lncRNA from 1 species
AAGAAUGUCUGCCAUUAGUUUAAGAGGGUUAGCAUAUUUGGAAUGCUUCUUAUACUAACACUGCCUCCUUGUAAGAUAUAAAUUUCUUAUUUACUUCACCAACUUAUUCUUCUAGUUGUGUGGUGUCUAGGCAACAUAUCAAUUCUGCUGUGUAAUUCAGAGAAUUCUCAUUCCAAGAGUAUCUGAGCCAAACUGAGUAUUCUGUGGCAGCUGCGGCAGUGCCAUCACUAGCAAUUUGCUCUUAUCAUUAUUUAUUACCUUUGAACCUAAGGUUUCCUGCCUAUGCCUCCACAGGCAGGAGUCAGUCCCCUUUGCAUGAAAAGGUUUAAACAGGUUAGUUAUUAGAAGACUAAAAUACUAGUUGAAUAUUCGUAUUUUGGAAAUCUGUUCACACUGGAGAUCUACAGAAAUGCCACAAAUUAUUACCUGAAAUCAGAAAUUCUAGAAAUUGAAGAUUCUGAGAUGAGAUACUGAAGUCUUAAUAGUGAUGGUGUGCUUGCUUCUCUUUCAGUCAGGCUUUUGGGUUCAGAUAUGACAGGCUCUGGGGUUAAAAUAAAGUUUGAACCAUUACUUGUGUCAAACCAUAUUCCAUUAACCUUGCAAGUCAAAUACAUUUGAUUCUUUAAUAAAAAACAAAAAAGGAUAAAAUAGAUGGUAGAAGAAAAGGUAUUUGUAGAAAGAAGAUACAGAUGGAAUGAUCUGGAUGUUUAGAGAAUAGCCAU